UACGGAGGGGGCUAGCGUUGUUCGGAAUUACUGGGCGUAAAGCGCACGUAGGCGGACUGUUAAGUCGGGGGUGAAAUCCUGGAGCUCAACUCCAGAACUGCCUUCGAUACUGAAGAGCUCGAGUCCGGGAGAGGUGAGUGGAACUGCGAGUGUAGAGGUGAAAUUCGUAGAUAUUCGCAAGAACACCAGUGGCGAAGGCGGCUCACUGGCCCGGUACUGACGCUGAGGUGCGAAAGCGUGGGGAGCAAACAGG
rnacentral:rRNA from 1 species